rnacentral:lncRNA from 1 species
CUGGCUUUGGGGAAGUUGUUUGAUAUUACGUUUAGACCAUUAUAUUCUCCCAUUCAUCUGGUAGUAAGAUGUUUUCAAUAAACCAUUUACCCCCUCAGGGCCACGAGCGCCUGAACACAAACAGGGGCACUUUUCCCUGGGAAAGAAAAGUUGCCAGCCCAGGUUCCUGAUGUCAGCUUGCAGGAUGCACUUGGGACUGUCAGGGCAGCGGAAAUUUUAGGUGGGAUAGCUUGGGUCUGGGACACAUCCUUCGCCUUUCGGAUUUUUUAUAGGCGGCUGCCCCCUCAUGGCCACAGGCCCUUGAAUACAAACAGCAGCCCUUUUCUCUGGGAAAGAAAAUUCACCAGCCCAGGUUCCCGAUGUGAGUUUGUAGGGGCAACCUGGGACUGUCAGGGCAGCACGAGUUUGAUGUGGGGGCGGCUUGGAUAUGGGACACAUCCUUGGAGAUGAAAGGUGGGGGGGGAGGGUCUACUGGGUGCGGAACGGGAGGAAGGACGGGUAAAUAGGAGAGGCAUAGCGAAAAAGAAAUACAAAAGAAAAGAAACGCAGAAGAAAAGACAUAGAAAAAGAGACAUAGGGCCCGGCCGCACAGCAACCUCCCGAACCGAGCGCCGCGGAGCAAAUGGCUCCGCCCGGCCCCCACCGCGGUUUAAAUCCCCCACGGCCCCGCCCCGCGCAGGCGCGCUGGGGCCCCGCGCACCUGCGCGCGCACCUGCGCUGGCCCCGCCCCCCCGGGAGCCGCCCCUCCCCCGCCCCCCCCUCUGCCCAUAAAUGGCGGCGGAUCCGCGCCCGCCCCGCGUUCUGCGGAGGAUGCUCGGCUCGAGUUGCGGCGGGACCGGCGCUCGGAGCGCCGUGCGGAGAUCCGGAUCGGGGCUGCUCCCGGAGCUGCGCGGCGUCCGAGGCCCUCAGCUCCUGAGCAGUGCCAGGGCCGCCGGGAGGGAGUUCAGACCCAAAAAAUCCCCACAGCCCACGGAGUGAAUGACCCCAGCAGAGAAACGCAGCGUUGUAAUGAAAAACUUGGAGCUCUGUGGAAAAGGCUCUGACAACAAGGUAAUGGGAUUCCCAGGAACCUUGUGGUUUGCUCUCGGAAUGCUCUUGGUUCUCUUUUAUUAUUUCUAGUCCCUCAGGGGGCAGCUUGUAGAAUUUAUUCUGGGAUUUAGAGGUUGAGCAGGGUGGCCUCUGGAUUGACCCUUGCCUCUGGUGC